rnacentral:rRNA from 1 species
CAACAAUGAAGAGUUUGAUCCUGGCUCAGGAUGAACGCUAGCGGCAGGCCUAACACAUGCAAGUCGAGGGGUAACAGGAAAAGCUUGCUUUUCGCUGACGACCGGCGGACGGGUGAGUAACGCGUAUACAAUCUACCUUUUGCUAAGGGAUAGCCCAGAGAAAUUUGGAUUAAUACCUUAUAGUAUAUAGCUACGGCAUCGUAAUUAUAUUAAAGGUUACGGCAUAAGAUGAGUAUGCGUCCUAUUAGCUAGUAGGUGUGGUAACGGCACACCUAGGCAACGAUAGGUAGGGGCCCUGAGAGGGGGAUCCCCCACACUGGUACUGAGACACGGACCAGACUCCUACGGGAGGCAGCAGUGAGGAAUAUUGGGCAAUGGACGGAAGUCUGACCCAGCCAUGCCGCGUGCAGGAAGACUGCCCUAUGGGUUGUAAACUGCUUUUAUACAGGAAGAAACA